rnacentral:rRNA from 1 species
UACGAGGGGUCCAAGCGUUAAUCGGAAUUACUGGGCGUAAAGCGUACGCAGGCGGUUCAUUAAGCUAGAUGUGAAAUCCCCGGGCUCAACCUGGGAAUUGCAUUUAGAACUGGUGAACUAGAGUCUUGUAGAGGGGGGUAGAAUUUCAGGUGUAGCGGUGAAAUGCGUAGAGAUCUGAAGGAAUACCGGUGGCGAAGGCG